CUUUAGUAAGAUCUUCACUGCUGAGGAUAAUCUCUGAUUAGAAUAGCACUGCUAAAGUAAACAUAUGAUUAGAAUAGCACUGUGAGGAAAAUCUAUGAUUAGAAUAGCACUGCUGGGGUAAAUGCAUUGUGCUUUUUUGGUGUCUGCUGGGAUAUUAAACUGUUCAGUAUUGAGUAAAUAUUUUGUAGAAAAAAAAAUUGUAGAAAAAAAACUAAACUAAAAUACAUUUUGACUAUUUUAUUUAUAUGUGAUGGCAUGGACCUUUAUUUUGCGUUUUGCUGUAUUCCACUUCCUGGAGUGGCCAUUUUGUCUCUUCCUGGUUAGGCUUAUUGUUGCUGUUUUCCCCCCUUCAUGUAGUGGCUAAUUAGCAAAAUGGUUUCUUCCAUGCUCUGAUUGGUUUAGGCCCUGUAAAUUAGCCCCUUUGGCCUCCUUAAAGCAGACAACACAUGCACCCUUCCUCUCCAUUUUGAUUUGCCCCUCUAGCUGCUGCUGGAAGCUCCUGGUUGAAGCCAGUGCUGUUCAUGCUUUGAAGGUUCAGUUCCUGACUAUUGCCUUGAUUUUAUGUACGGUAGGCCCAGCCAUUCGGGUUUUAAGUUAAAAACAAGUUCUUUUUUUUGUUCAAGAUAUUGUAAGUGAUGUAAGUCUCUUAACAGUUUUCAAUUUCAUUCUUUUUGUAGGACUGACCUCUAGCUAGCUGCUGUUUUGUAACUAUUUUGUUUGUUUGUUUUUUAUUUGUUUUGAGAUCGUUUUGGUUUAUUUUUAGUAUAUUGGUUUGUUUGUUUCUUUGUUUUAUUUGCUUCAGUUGAUUAAUAUUAUUUUGUAUAAUGGUUUCGAUCAGUUGAUUAAACUAGAGAUUUUAUGGGCUGUAUUAAGUCACUGCCAUCAUAACACUUAUAUUAUUUAUAAAUGUAUAUUUAUUUAUAAAAACGUGUAACUAAUCAGAUUUUUGGGUGUUAAAUUUCCCUUUCUCCUCUUGUCUACCUGUUUAUCUCCAGGCCCCUUGGAUGUGUGGAUUUAUGCAGUGGUGUUCAGUCGCCCAAAGGGCCCUGUGUUUUAAUUUAAUAACUAUAUUCUUGAUUUGGUACCAAUGUUUUAAAGUAAAAAUAAAUGUGAAUGAGAUUUCUAUCUUGUGUGGAAAAUAAAUUAAUUGUUUUGGAAACUUG